GCUCUGCCAGUGGGCGGCGGAGCCAGCUACUCGAGGAGGGUUGGCGGGCGGCGGCGGAGCCAGCGGCGGCUGAGCAAUCGACGAUGGCCUCCUCCUCCAGCUGCGUACUCAGGCAGAGGCCGCCGUCGCAGGGCAGUAGCUAGGUUGCCGGUGCCCGGGGGAACCUGAUGGCGUACCAGCCGGCGAGGCAAUGCUACUGCGUGCCACCAAAAAAGCCUCCUCGCUGGAUAUCUUGGAGCCACGAAAAUCCUGAAAGAUACUACUGUUGCGUGCUAGGAAUUACUGAAGGCUGUGCGUAUUUUGCAUGACAUGAUGAUCUGUGCUCCCCAUUUCUUGGACAAGUGAUGAUUGAUUAAGGGAUGCAAUGAGGAGGAUGAAUUCUUAUGGCCAACAGGAACAGAGAAAUGGAGCAGAGGUUGUACUCAAGCAGCAAGUUCAGGAGAAGAAUGAAGAAAAUUAAGCAAUGAGGGCAAUAUGUGAAAAGAUGGAGAGAGCUGCAAUGCACAACUGUGCAUUUUAUGGCUUAAUCAUGUUAGUAGGUUGUAGAACUUCACAGAUUGUACUCGAAUUUCUGUGAUGUAUGGGCUUUGUACUCAAUUUCUAAACUUCACAGCAUGCAAGUAGUGGAAAAUUGGUAUUUGACAGCA